rnacentral:misc_RNA from 1 species
GAUGCUCGGAAAUCCACACCGGCAGGCCUAGGAAGUUGUAUGAAGUUACGAGAAUGCAAGUCAGCUGCAAACACAGUCUGCAUGCAACAAGAAUGCCAUACUAGUUCAAGAUGCCAAAAACAAAAGGUUCAAGCAAAAACGACAGAUUCAAAAAACAAAUGGAACAUAUUUAUAUACGCACAAGAAUGGAGAUGUAAUACUAAAACCAAAAAGAUAAUUCAGAUAUUAACUACAAUAAGAUAAUUCAGCAUGUUAGAUUACUCAUACAACAACAUGCACUGCAGCCAAAAUGAAUCUUAC